GCGGCCGGGCCGUGUCCUGCUCGCACCCGAGCGCGCGCUCCUCCCUCGCUGGAGCCGGGGGGCCAGGGGCCGCACCCGCAGGUGGGGUGAGCAGGGAAUCCGCAGGUGGGGUGAGCAGGGAAUCCGCAGGCUUCAGCGGCGGGGGUUGACCGGCAGCUGGCGUCGAGAGGCGCUUGGGAAAUGGGGUCUAAUUUAUUUUAGACCCUGUCCCCGACUGCCGCGCCCUGACUGGCACCCCCUUUCUUAAAGGGUGGUGGGCUCGAGGUGGGUGAGGUUCCGGUUAAGCAGGAGCCUUUUCAGGUUGAAGGAGAGUGGGUCACCCACUUCCCAGGACACGGAGAUGAGAUCUCUACGACAGGGAGGCAGAUGGAGGCUUUUUUGUCCCUGAACCCUUGCCUCUGAGCAUUCCUGGGUACAGUCCCAUCCUCUCAAAAUGCACCCAGUGCAGAGGGACAACCGUAUUCGGGUCUUUUAAUACUCCAUCUUGUUUUGUUCACCACAAUUUACCCCGACCACUUGUUAGGAAGCCUCUGGCCCCAAGUGAAACGGACGCUUGAACUUGCUCCGGAUUUUUACCAGCAUCCCCAAGAUACCCAAACAGAUACAGUCCUGGCAGGGGGUUUUCAGUGAGGAACGUCUGUGACAAAGGAAAAUGUUGCCCUGUUUUGGUGAAAAGCAGAGUAUUCUUCAGGAGGAGAAGUGAUAGUUCUCCUCUUGAAGUGGGUCUGGAGUGCCUGCAAAGAUGCCUUACUCCUGCCCCUCUCCUUGCAAGACCCACCCAUAGGACCUGCUCAGGCAGGCUGACAACCUCAGCUGGCAGUCCCGGGUAGGCUCAGGCUUCGGGCAGUCCCCAGCCUAUGCUGGCUGCCCGUUGGGGUUUGGUUUUCAAAUGUAGUCAUAUGUAGUCUAUUGUUUUAGUCAAAAGUGGGUAAACUAUCAAUAUCAACCAUAUCUGUCCAAUCAACUGGAGUUAGAUGACCCCAAAUAGUCAAACAGUUACCAAAGUAGAAGAAUCACAAGGUUUCGGCUAGCAUAAUAUUGUUUUUUUUUUUUUUUUUGAUGGGGUCUCACUGUGUGGCCCAGGCUGGAGUGCAGCGGUGGGAUCUCGACUCACUGCAGCCUCCACCUCCUCGGGCUCAGGUGAUUCUUCUACCUCAGCCUCCCGAGUAGCUGGGACUACAGGCAUGCGCCACCAUGCCAGCCUAAUUUUUGUAUAUUUGGUAGAGACGGGGUUUUGCCAUGUUGUCCAGGCUGGUCUCGAAGCCCUGAGCUCAAGCCAUCUGCCUGCCUCAGCCUCCCAAAGUGCUGGGAUUACAGGCAUGAGCCUGGCCAAUAUUCUGGUUUAUUAAGCACCAUCUUUCUAACCUCUGCCCUUUAUAAGUCCUCCUCUAGCUCCUAAGAUAAAGGCUAUGGACUGAAUGUUUGUGUCCCCCCAAAUUCAUAGGUUGAAGUCCUAAUCCCUAAAGUGAUGGUAUUAGGAGGUGAUUAAGUCAUGAGGGUAGAGCCUUAUAAAGGGGGCCGGUGGGAUUAGGGGGAAGAAUACCAGCCCACAACCUUUUCACCAUGCAAGGACAGAAAGAAGGCUCUGCCUAAUAGCCAGACACUGAGUCUGCAAGGGUCUUGAUCCUAGACUUCCCAGCUUCCAGAACUGUGAGCAACACAUUUCUUUUUUUCUUUUUUCUUUUUUUUUUGAGAUGGAGUCUUGCUCUGUCAUCCAGGCUGGAGUGCAGUGGCAUGAUAGCUCACUGCACCCUCCACCUCCAGGGUUCAAACAAUUCUUCUGCCUCAGCCUCCCGAAUAGCUGACUACAGGUGUGUGCUACCACGUCCGGCUAAUUUUUUGUAUUUUUAGUAGAGACAGCGUUUCACUGUGUUAGCUGGAUCUCCUGACCUCGUGAUCCGCCUGCCUCGGCCUCCCAAAGUGCUGGGAUUACAGGCAUGAGCCACCACGCCAGGCCAGCAAUACAUUUCUGUUGUUUAGAAGCCACAUGGUUUACGGUAGUGUGAAUUGUUACAGCUGCCUGGGUAGGCUAUGAGGGUCCACCCUGUCUCACUUCCUAAAUUGACUUUGGUUUCACCUUACUUUAUGUCCUUGGAAGUGCUAGAAAAGUGCAUAUCCCAAGGGCAAAGAUUUGCAGCCUGCCUGUCCCUGGUCUGCAGUCUUUCUCUCUUGCUACAAAGAGGCCCCAGAGGGCCAAGAAGAAGAUGGAAAGAAGGAAUGAGUCAGUCAUCCAAGAAGUCUUUAUUUUCCCACUUGGUUACUGUUCUGGAGCUUGUACCCUCUGAGCUCUGAGAUGGGGUUGGGGGGACAGUGCCAGGGAGGGCCUGUGGGGCUGUGCAGUUGCUUCCCUCUGGGCUGGCUCUGAGCCCAGGGCAGGAUCAGGCACUUGAGAGCCCCCCACCGAGCCUCAUUGGCAUAGACAGUCGUGCCUCUCACAGGGCUCAGGGGAGGUGGAGGUGUGGGCAAGUCCAUCCCCAAGGCUGUAAGGAAGGAGCAGCUCCUCCAUAAGGCCAAGCAGAAGCAUUAGGGAAAUCAUCCUCAGUUUUAGCACUGCGUGUUCUUCAGGAGAGAAGUCCUGAGUGAGGAGGCCCAGCUGUUCUCCAGAUCCAACUCCUCGGGGGUUUCCACAGAGAGCUGGUAUCAAGGCAGCUGUCAGGGGCGGCGUGCCUGGUGAUGCGGCAUCUUACCUUCAUCCCCAUCUCAGAAUGGGCAGCCAGUCUCAGAUUCAAGGAGGAGGAAUCCUGAGGUGUGGCGUUCAGUCCUGAGGUAGACCUGAGGUCCCCUGGAAAUUGUGUUGAUGCUGAGAUGGAUGAGGGGUGCUCAUUCUCUCAGGUAGACAGUGAGGAGUCCUGGUUCAGCCGAGCCUCCAUGUCUGCAUGGAUGGUUAUGACCCUGAUUGUUUUUGGAAACAGCCAAGCUCUCUAGGUGUACUCAGCAAAUGCAAGGUAUAGUGGGUCCUGCAUACCCAGGGUAUUAUUUGAGCCAUGGAAGCAAAACAGAGACUGCUUAGCCUCCCUAAGAGUAGUUGGUGGGAGUGGCCAGCAACCAUGGAGGCAGGAGCAGCUCCUCUUUGCCUCUGAGUAGUCCCCACAUGUUCCCUCUUCCAGAGAUUUCAACUGCCAGGCCUGGUCACCUCUGUAGCCUACUCUUAUGACACAUGGGUGGAGGCAAGGGUAACCAGAGUCCUUGUUCUUUCUUUUGAUUGGGGUCAUCCAGCCCUUCCGAUGUGUGGUCAGGGAGCAGAGUCACUGAUAGGAUGUUGAGACUUGGAGAUCAGGACCAGACUUUUCCCCAUUCUUGCAUCUGGCCUGUGCUUGGGCAGGACCUCGGGUGAAGGAUGAUCUUGGAAUCACCCUUUUGUCAGCCCCAGGAAGGAGUGGCUGGAGUGGCUUCUAGAAACUUCUCUCAUUACUUUUCCCUCAUGGCAGCUAAGCACUUAUGUUCAUGUUAUAGAACAGGAAACUGAAGCUCACAAAGAGUGUCUCAGAGAACACCAGGACACCUGGGCUUCUUUCUUUGUCUGUCAUAAAUGCCAGCUCCUGUCUUUAAGUUCAGAGAGACAUUGGAGGUUCCCCUUACUGUCCAUCUGGGGCCAACAGAGGAAGCAGAGGAGUGGCCAGUGUUGAAGACCUGGAAUCCGGCCCCUUGUCCUUACUGCUGCUGCUUCCUGUGACUGCAAGCACCACUAAGGAGGCACUCCUUCCCCACACCAACCCAAGGGGUACCCCCAGAUCACUCGGCCCACUUUCCCCAGACCCACCUUCCCAGGCUUGAGGGAGGUAGGCACCUGGGCCACCGGAGGGUGGCAGGGGUCAGGGGCUGGGUUCCUCAGGCAGCUGGCCUGCAUACAGGGCCAAAGUGUGGUGCAGGAACUGGUACUGCUCUGCCGUCUGGAUCAUCCCCCCUCUGCAAGGAGAAACACACAGACCAUGAGUGAAGGAGGGUCAGGGUGCUGGCUGAAUGGCUCCAGUCAAACAUCCCUGUGGUCCUACUGGGAAAGUCCUGACUUUCUCAAAGAACAUGCC
rnacentral:lncRNA from 10 species